UGUGGUUUGAAGGCAUGGAAAUCGGUUGCAUCAUGAUGUAUUUUGUAUCUCUUCUUGAGACUUGUUGAUGCAAAAUAUUGGACCCAUGAAGGUUAAUCAAGGAUUGAUAAGGUACGCAUUGUUUAAGUCUUAUGCUUGUAAAUCUUUUCAAUUUGAACUAUGAUGUCGGUUUAGAGGAUGAAAUUUGACUACUAAAGUUUCCUUUGGACAUCGAAAUUGAAAUGAUGAAAUUGAAUUUGUUAUGGAUGCAUAAAUUCAUGAUAGAAGCACAUAAUUGUUUCUGGCAGAUUACGUGUCUUGAUUUAAAUCGGGUGAAUGACAUGUCUAAUGGUCACCAAAUGACCUGAAUUUUGGAUAUGUUUAACAUAUAAAUGUCUAAUAUGUGUCUUCAAAGUUCCGUAAUUUUCUGCCACGUAUGUUAAUUAUGGUGAAUUUACUUGUAACCCAUGCUCGUAUAGACAGUUUUUACUGGCAGAUUGUGUUGUUUUUUUUGAGACGUGACUUUAGACUACUAUUUUGACCUAAAAUGGCUCUGUAUUUAUAUUUUAUGAAGAUUAGUAUGUCUAUAUUGAUCAGUAUAAAUUUGGUAGCAAUCAAGCUUGUAAAUUAAUUAUGAUAAAUUCUAAAGUAAGUGUAACUCAUUGCUGAAAUUCUGUUUGACAACUUUAUGUUGGUUGUGAUGUCUAUUUUAUUAUGUCUAAUAUAUAAAGAAAUUUUCUUUAGGUACAUCUUUGAAAGAAUAUAUUAACGAGUGUUUUCCCAAGUGGGAGAAUUAGUGAACAAAAAUUGGGCUUCAUACUCAUUAACUUAUUUGCAAGUAUAAACUCUGAAAACUUAGUGGGAGUUGUUCUAAAAUUUUGAGCACUAAGUGGACUUGCAUGAAUCUAUUAAAGCAUUAUUCUAUCUUCCAUGAAUUUGUAUUACUUGAAUGUCUAUAAUAUGUUUAUGUUGCACAAAUGGAUACUUGGUAUAUGCGUACAUUUUCUAUUACUUGCAAUCAUUUAGAUUUCUCAAUUGAUCAUAUUGUUUUGGGGCUCAUAAGGACUUAGCGUAAAUGUGGACUUAUUAAUACAUAUAAGAUGGUUGUUGGAUGCACGUUUUUUUUGUGUAAACAGCAGUGAAUGCUUUCAUGCUUAGUUGUACCUUUCAUUGAGGUAAUAUGCAUUCAUUGACUAAGUAAGGCUAUUCCCAAAGGCAUAUUUUCAAAAGUAUGAUUUAAGUAUUGAUUUGCAAAUUAAGUAACGAUGUUGCAGAUCAGUGGGAGUUUGAGUUUCGUGUUAGUAAUGCCUUACAUUUGCAGAUGACCUAUAAAGUAUGUGUUGAUGCACAAAACCUGAGGUCUUGGAACAAUGUAAAUAUGACCGUGAAUCUGCAUGUAAAGUAAAUAACACAAGAUGCAUCGUGGUUCGCCCCAAGGUUUGAGCUACGUCCACAGUAUUUG
rnacentral:lncRNA from 1 species